UACGAAGGGGGCUAGCGUUGCUCGGAAUCACUGGGCGUAAAGGGCGCGUAGGCGGCCGAUUAAGUCGGGGGUGAAAGCCUGUGGCUCAACCACAGAAUUGCCUUCGAUACUGGUUGGCUUGAGACCGGAAGAGGACAGCGGAACUGCGAGUGUAGAGGUGAAAUUCGUAGAUAUUCGCAAGAACACCGGUGGCGAAGGCGGCUCACUGGCUCAUUUCUGACGCUCAGGCGCGACAGCGUGGGGAUCAAACAGG
rnacentral:rRNA from 1 species